GUUAUUUAUUAAAGUUUAAAUUUUUUACUGUUGGGGCUAAUAAAGUAAAAAGUUAAUUUUACUAGGCGGUAAAAAUAGAUUGUUAGUAAAUUGCUUUGGUUGGGGCAACCACGGAGAAAAAUCAUCCUCCGCUCAAAUAAAUAGAAAAAUUACUAUUUUUAGAAAUAUUGAUAUUAAAAAGUGAUCCACUAAUAAAGUGAUCAAAGGAACAAGUUACCGUAGGGAUAACAGCGUAAUUUUUUUGGAGAGUUCAUAUUGAUAAAAAAGUUUGCGACCUCGAUGUUGGAUCGGGACUUCCAGGGGAUGCAGCAGUCCCAAGG
rnacentral:rRNA from 1 species